rnacentral:rRNA from 1 species
UGGGGGAUAUUGCACAAUGGGGGAAACCCUGAUGCAGCAACGCCGCGUGAAGGAAGAAGGUCUUCGGAUUGUAAACUUCUGUCCUCAGGGAAGAUAAUGACGGUACCUGAGGAGGAAGCUCCGGCUAACUACGUGCCAGCAGCCGCGGUAAUACGUAGGGAGCGAGCGUUGUCCGGAUUUACUGGGUGUAAAGGGUGCGUAGGCGGAUCUGCAAGUCAGUAGUGAAAUCCCAGGGCUUAACCCUGGAACUGCUAUUGAAACUGUGGGUCUUGAGUGAGGUAGAGGCAGGCGGAAUUCCCGGUGUAGCGGUGAAAUGCGUAGAGAUCGGGAGGAACACCAGUGGCGAAGGCGGCCUGCUGGGCCUUAACUGACGCUGAGGCACGAAAGCAUGGGUAGCAAACA